rnacentral:rRNA from 1 species
UUCCAGACUCCUACGGGAGGCAGCAGUGAGGAAUAUUGGUCAAUGGGCGGAAGCCUGAACCAGCCAAGUCGCGUGAGGGAAUAAGGCCCUACGGGUCGUAAACCUCUUUUGCCGGGGAGCAAGGGCGGGGACGUGUCCCGGCCCGGAGAGUACCCGGAGAAAAAGCAUCGGCUAACUCCGUGCCAGCAGCCGCGGUAAUACGGAGGAUGCGAGCGUUAUCCGGAUUUAUUGGGUUUAAAGGGUGCGCAGGCGGUCUGUUAAGUCAGCGGUCAAAGCCCGGAGCUCAACCCCGGUCCGCCGUUGAAACUGGCAGUCUCGAGUUGGAGAGAAGUACGCGGAAUGCGUGGUGUAGCGGUGAAAUGCAUAGAUAUCACGCAGAACUCCGAUUGCGAAGGCAGCGUACCGGCGCCCAACUGACGCUGAAGCACGAAGGCGUGGGUAUCGAACAGGAUUAGAUACCCGAGUA